GGGGACUGUGGGAUCCAUUCUAGCCCGGAAAGAUGAUACCAAGACAGAGGAUGUUGUCUGUGAGCAACUUGGGAUCAACAUCUUCUUGGACUGACACGUGCCCACGGAGAACCUGUGGUACCGGGAGAUCUUCCUUGUCUUCAAGGUGGCUGAAACUGGCCCCGAGGAGAAGGUGAAGAAGCUCUGCCGCUACUAGUACUCCAGCAUGAAGAAGUCCAUGGGCUACUUCUCACUUACUCACUUACAGAAUGGAACUUGAAAAACCACAUUCAUCAGAAUGCUGGCAGGUUGUCUCAAGCUGAUUGAUGGAGAAGACGAGAUUAUUCAGAUCUGAGGUUUGAGCAUUCAGGGGAGGUGCCCAUCCUGAAUGUGAGCUGCAAGCCAGAGAAAAUCAGUCCAAAGUGUAAGGUGCAGAACUUGUCUGGAGGUGAGCUUCAGCAGGUGCCUCCGGCCUUGUGCCCAGGGAAGUCGGCCGACAGACAUCAAAUGGUGUGGUGGGUUCCUGCCCUGCUCUUUCCUUGGAGCAGUGCACUUCCUGCUUAAAGUAAUUUACAGUAUAUCCAGA